GCCAGUGUGGUUUAGUGGUUUGAUCAUUGGACUAUGACUCUGAAGAUUAGGUUCAAUUUCCAGCUCAGCCA